rnacentral:lncRNA from 1 species
AACAGGGAACAACCGGGAAACGACAGCAGCGACUGCCCCAUCAUCGUGCAACGACGCCGUGUUCCUCCAGUAGCAGCAGCCGGGAAACGAACAGAGCCCAUCACAGCGGCGGUCGAUCUCCUCCAGCACACCACAGAACCGUUCUCCCCGUCUCCAGCAAGCAGCCCCACCAUCAGCCAACGCCGCCGCCCGAAACAGAGAAGAAGGCAAAACCGAGAAGAAGCAGAGGCGUAACGGAGAAGAAGAAAAUGAGGAGCAGAUCUGAAACAAAAAAAAUAAUAAAAUAAAACCAACUGGAUUGCGUCCUUUUCUUCUUUGCAGGUAAUGUUGCUCCUCACUGCCAGUGUAGGAGGGAAGAGGAGAUGAAGGCGAGGCCGAUCCACCGGCUGCCCAGUUUUUUUUCAGUGGCGCGUGGAUCCACGCGCCGCCAGUGGCGGGGCGCGUGGAUCCACGCGCCUUCCACUGUCCAGGCAGCCCGGAAUGCAGCCCAGAAUUUGUUUUGGGUCAUAUUUGUAAUUUCCAAAUUGUUUAAUGUAAAUUUAUUUAGUUUUGAGUUUUUUUUUUGUAUUUUUGUAAAUAUGAAGAAAAAGGAAAAAGAAAAGAAAAAAUAUAAUAAAAGAAAUGUUGUGUGUGUUGUUUGUUUUUUUUAUUUAUUUAUGUUAUUGAAUUAAAAAUCAAAAAAGACAAAAAAAGAAUAAAUUGUUAAUUUAAAUAUGGUUAAAUAUCUUAAGGACAAAUAAAAUCAAGUUGUAUUUUCCACGAAAAUGUAAGAACAAGUUUUUUACAUAUAUUCGGGGAUUCAAUAACUGAUUUAUUCAAGCCUUAGAAUUUAAUUAAUAUUUUAAAUUUUCUUAAAUAUGGUUAAAUAUCUCAAGGACAAAUAAAAUCAAGUUGUAUUUCCCACGAAAAUGUGAGAACAAAUUUCUACAUAUAUUCGGGGAUUUAAUAACUGAUUUAUUCAAGCCUUAGAAUUUAAUUAAUAUUUUAAAUUUUCAAAUCACAUCAGAACACGAAGCAGCUUACCUCAGGUAGGGUGUGUUAUGGGUGCUAAUACCUUCCCUAACCACAACCAGUCCCUUAUCCGCGAUCUCUGAUAAGACCAGUACGUCAGGUUUCCUAGUAGCCCUCAAUAAAUUACUAGGUGGCGACUCCCACGAACGAAUUCAAAGCAAAACACAACAACAAGAAAAAUCGCCAGCCGAUGCCGCGCGCUAGAUUUUUUUGGGGUGCGACAGGAUGGCGACUCCACUGGGGAUGGUAUUGUUUUCAACUUUAUCGGACUAAGCUUUGUGUUUUGAUGUGUUCAAUUUUUUUUUUUAUUUUUUGUGCUUUGUUUUGUUUUAUUUUUGAUUUAUCCAUGCAUUGUAUAUAAUUCUCUCAUGCAUCACAAGUUUUAAUUUUUGAAAGCACACACCAGCUUUAGGUUAGGUGGGGGACUAGCAGCUUACCUUACGACUUGAGUCAAGGUUUAAGUUUGUGUAAACCCCAACUCUUUGUUGAGUGCUUAGACUGGUAAUAGUUGGACACGUGCCAACCAAUUACCUACUAGGCCCCUAUAUUGCCUUUACGAAGGCGAUCACUGGGACAACAAGAGACCCUUUUAGAGACCAAGUAGCAAACCUACCCUGUCUCACGUAAUAUAAAUAGAGCUUGUCUUUAGGAUGUAUGUGCUAUUGUUCUGCAUCCGAGCAAACCCUUCUUGAAGCAUCUUGAACUCAAGACUUGUGGGUGACACAAUGGCCGUCACUCAGAAAAUUUUCAUUGUAGAGUUUGGGCAAAAAUCUCGAUUCUUGUUCCAUUAUACAAGAGUUACGACCAUAUUGUCACCCCUCGAAGGGUGAGUUCGUCAUAUAGAUUACAUAUUCAUACAUUUAUCAUGCAUGUACCGGGUUGAAAAGUAGGUUCCCCCGCAUAAGUUGUGCUGCACGUGAUUGAAGAAAAAUGAUGGAGGUGAAAAAAGGUGUCAGAUAGAGGCUCAUUAUUAGUUUGAGUUUGAGAGCAUCAAAGGUGAAAUAGCUGGACUCAGAUCUGCUCGAACAAGUGUUAGCAUCAAAUGGAAAGAGAAUGUCUGCAUAGUCUUCUGUGGGAACACUGCUUGUCCACGUCCAAUUGAAGCUAUAUCUCUCUUGUUCAGUCAUGAACAAACAACAACAACGCCUUCAGUUAUCAACUAAUGACAACUCUGAUUUUUGUCUAGUUGCACUGUUAAGUGUUCAUCGCCUCCACAUCAUCUAAUGGAACCCAACGACUACUAGCCUCCUGUACAUGGUGCAUUAGUUUGCUUUGAAGUUACCCCGAUUAUAAGCUCAAUUCCAGCUCAGCAGCACAAGAUGGUCUGAAAAACCAUGAUUAAACACUGAACUUCAAUAUGGCAGAGCUCUCUCUACAAAAAUCCAUUUAUGGCCAUGCAAAUUGAGAAUGCAAGAGGGGAUUUAUAAGUUGCAUAUGCUACCAAUAUUUCUCUCAUCAGUUUCAGCACGAAAACCUCUUAGUAGGUUGAAGAGCCAGAUCUGGUCCGAAAAAUAUGAGCAGACAUCAAACUUUAAUGUAGCAGAGCUCUCUCGGCAGAAAUCUGUUUGUGGAUCCGCAAGUGGGAAAUCCAAGAAGGAAUACAGUAGUUUCAGAUCAUCUAUGAUUUUCCUCCAACAGUGUCAGUUUUUUAAAACGCAAAAUACUCAGAAGAGACAUGCCUAGACUGAAAAAAACAUGAAGAAGACUGAAACUUCAACAGAGCAGAACUCCCUCUAUUGGUGCUUGUUAGUUGCACCGUUUGAGAGGAAUCGAAGAAGAAAUAGAGGAGAUUCAUGUUCAUCAUUUUCUCCCAUAGAAGAGAUAAGGCAUGAUUCCACGUGUUGGUAGUGGUGAUACUACAAGUUUUUGGCGCUGCCAAGAUUACCAAGCUGUUGGAAAGUUUUCUAACAAUCCUCAACCCACCACAACAACAUUGGAAGAUUGAAGGAUACUGUGAGGAUUUACCGAAGAAUUGAACAAGCUAUGAAAAGAGGAAAGAUUGAAGGAUCUACCAUGGACUCCAGAACAAUGACGAGAGGUGAAUCAGGAGAUGACUUUGACGGUGCGAACCUUUAAUUAUGUGGUAUAGUCAGGUCUCAUGGUAGAAUCAAUUGCUCAAAUGUCUUUGCCAAAGAUAGACAUUCCUUUGCCAUGUGGGUUUAUUUACUAGCACUGCCAAAUUCCAUACUCAGUGUCCCGGACUUCGACAAAUUGCAUGCAACCACCGUGGUAUAAUUCAAACUAGAUGUGAAUAUCAUGGAGGGUUCCCGGACUAUUUCAGUUGAACAGACACAAGAGUUUCAAGACUCGAGCUGAGUUUGCGAAAGAUGAUGUUGAAUCAUUUUCAGAAUGACAAGUGAUCGGAAGUGCUUGGUAAAACACAAAUAUUGUCAGAAAAGCUGAUUCAAGAAUGGUGAUGAACAGUCAAUCAUAUUGUUUUGGAAUUCUGCAUUUUGUUUUGAUAUCACAUCUCAUCCUUCAACGAAACAUGCCCUGCUUUUGUCUCUUUGUUGUUUUGAAAUCAACAGAUGUUUAACAUUUUUUUUCCGACAAAAUAUUUUUGAUCAAACUCCAACAUGCAAUAAAGGCUAAUCAAUCCUGAAGAUUAAAAGUGUUUUGAUUGCAGAAAUGACUCGAUUCUUAUUGAAAUGACAUGAGGUGACCAAACAAAUUUUGAGCUCAUACACAAAAUUGAACCACACAUCAUAUAGCUAAGUUUUAGCAGUAUGCAUAAUGACAUGUAGUGGAUUUGGUAGUUAUAGACCCGUGAAUCAUUGACUCUUACAAGUCCAAAUCAUUACACUGGAUGAGGUCAAAAUUUAUCGGUUCUAACCGACCUUGCUUGAAAUGAGAAAAGGCCAUCUUUGAUAUCCCUUCACUUUCUAAAGUUUAUAUCCCUUGUAGUCCCAUGUUGAGCUGAAUAGAAUAUAUAUAUAUAUUUUUUUAUAGAAACCCUGACUAGGAUCACACCCCACAUUGGGGGGCAAAUGAAAAAUAUCUUGGAGACACAGAUAAAAUCAAUGGAUCAAAGAAAAGCUUAGAACAAAAGUCCAAUGUUUGAGAAAGGGCUAGAAGAAGAAAAUCCAUUGAUUGAGGGCCAUCCAAGAAAAACUUUGAGGAAAUGAAAGAAAACGCCUACCAAUUCUAAGAGAGGCAAGACAACUUUCAAUUGAGAAAAGACAAUAAAUGCCAAAAGUCAACACUAGAAAAAUCGAUGCUUCAUAUCUUUUGGUGUGUCUAGGAUAAAGCCUCUAAUGUCUUCAAAUUGUUUUAGAUUGGUUAUUCAUCAAAGAAAAGUUGGAUUUGGAUUAUGACCUAUGUUAAGAGAAUUCUGAUAUUUGAGAUUAACAAGGUUAUGUCACUUUCUCUACAAUGACGACAAGAGAAAGAGAAUCGAUGAAUAAUUGAUGUUGAUCCUAAGUCGUUGAAACCCUCAAACACCUUUUGAGCCUUUGAAAUUCCUUUCUUUCACAACCAUGAACCAUAGCCUGCAUUACGUGCUUUUAAAAGCCCUUUUUAAUCAAGUAAGCAAUUUGAACCAAUAAAUGGCGAUCUCAAAACUUGAAGAGUUUUUUCUAUAAGAGUCGUGACUUCAUUGAAUUAAGCUACUGGUUAUUAUGCAUGCUGAUAAAAUAAAUGCUAAGAAAAGAAACAACCUUUCUUGAUAAAGCCUGAGCAUCUUGUUUUUGAAAUUCAUAAAAAUGUCACCUCAUCACAGACCAUCAAAAGAUAUACCCAAAAUCAGAGUUUAAAAUGGACACAAAGAACCAUGAAAAAGUCAUUUUAAAUCUUACAACGGGUCAUUUCUGUUUUCAAGAUACAAGACAAUCAAAGGACUGCAUUGAAUAGUGUGUUGGGUCUUUGACCAAAGAAGUUUGAAUUUCAAAAAAAAAAAAAAAAAUUUCAAAAACAGACAUCUCUCUGAUUUCAUUUCAACAAUUAGACUUGAAUAGACAUGAUCGUUGAAAUGUGAGAUUUGAUUCCAGAACAAGAAAGAUUUUCAAACAAGAACAUCAGUUGAGUUUGCAAAAUCCUCGACAAAAAUGACAUCAACAUUUCUCGACACUCCUUGAAACGUUGACCACUUGGGGGCAAUACAGUGGACCCUUAGAAGAAAAACAAACAUCAUUCUAAUCAGCUGGGGGCAAAGAAAGAAUCAGAUGAUGAGUCGUCAAAGUUCAUCAAAGUUAUGUUUAGCAUCUGACAAUGACAAAGAAAAACCUUCUUGAGUAUAAACUCGAUGAACGAACCUUCAGAUCAUAUUGGGGGCAAUGUUGUUCAAAGACAAUCCAUGAUCUAGUGCACUUCAGCAGCAAUUGAUGAGCAACGCUGCACUAGAAGGAUAUUUUCAUAUCUUCAUCUUGGGUUACCCUGUAAAACAUGGCUAUGACUCCUGACAGAUGUUAUCGGGUGAGUGCAUUUGAAUGAACAUCGAACAUAUGCAUACCAUUAAGAUUGACUAUGGGACCAUCUAUUCUGAAGCUCAAAUGCGCACUUCACCGCAUGAAUAUGGGUGAUAACAUGAACAUCAUUAAUGAUGCCAAAGCAUUUAUUUUCACGAUCUGAUUUGACAAGCUAAGAGGAAUCCAUAGAGAAAUACAUCGCGCUUACAAUGAUGAGCUGUUUACUGCAAAGCAUGAGAUCCAUGUCUGGAUGACUUGGCAGUUCCAUGAAGGUUGGUGACCGCAUAUACUUGAAUGGUGUUUCAACUGGAGGCAAGUUCAUGAUUGAUUAACAAUCUUGAUGGGGUGGUUGCAUGAUGCACACAAUCAACCAGAGGAUAAUUCUCAGAAGAAGCCAGGAGAGAAAAUCCUUCAUGAUGAAUCAAGCAGUACCACACUUGGGGGCAGGUCAAGCUUGAUGAACGAUGCGAGCAGUAAUUGUCAAAGACAACCCGGGAUGGGCACUGCAUUUACAGCUGAGUGGAUGGCUAGCACAUGAAUGAGCCAAUGCAUCGAAAGAACAAGGAAAGCUUUGGGAAUGCAAACAAAGGCACCCUAUGACGAUGAAGCAUCAAAGAGGGGGGGACCUAUAUUUCAAAUCAGGUAAGGAUGCAUGCAUAUCAUCUAACCUAAAAAAAAAAAAAAAAACCAUUUGCACAUAUUUUUGAAUUGUUACAGGAAAAUCCUUAAUGAGGUCCAGUAAGAUGGUGGAAAAAGAAAGAAGCAUUGUGGUGAUAAUAAAGAAUCGGUUUUGAUCAUGGAAUAAAAGGACGAUGGGAUGAACCUUACCAUUAGGAAAAUCCCAAAGAAAUGAAAAGAUCAACCUUGCAAUCGGGAAGCCUCGAGUUUUCAACCCUUGCAGUCAGGAAACACCGAGUUUUUUUUUUUUUUUUCAAACCCUAUGAUCGGGAAUUAUCAGGAAGCACCAAGUUUUUCCAGCCCUUCUUCUAUCAUCCCUUCAGGACUUCGCCAGGUAAGUCCUAUUUUUCACACUUGUCAUAUCACAUUUUUUCAUCUGGGUAGGUCGCCCAUCAUAAUAAGACCGUUCUUUAUAUUUUUUCCAUUUUUAGGUAGGUCACCCAUUACAAUGAGACCGCACUUCAUAUUCUUUCUAUCUGGGUAGGUCGCCCAUCACAACGAGACCACUUCAUCAUAUUUUUUCCAUCUGGGUAGGUCACCCAUUACAAUGAGACCACACUUCAUAUUUUUUCCAUCUGGGUAGGUCACCCAUUACAAUGAGACCACACUUCACAUUUUUUUCAUCUUGGGUAGGUCACCCAUCACAAUGAGACCAUCAUCUUUUCUGGGUGGGUCACCCAAAGAAUGAGACCAUUCUCCAUCUUUUUUUUACCUGGGUAGGUCACCCAUAAGAAUGAGGUCAUUCCUCCCCCUGGGUAGGUCACCCAAAGAAUGAGACCACUCUUCCUUUUCCACUUGGGUAGGUCACCCAUCACAAUGAGACCACCAUUUUUUUGGGUAGGUCACCCAAAGAAUGAGACCAUUCUCCAUUUUUUUUACCUGGGUAGGUCACCCAUAAGAAUGAGGCCAUUCCUUCCCCUGGGUAGGUCACCCAAAGAAUGAGACCACUUUUUCCCCUUUCCACUUGGGUAGGUCACCCAUCACAAUGAGACCACCAUUUUUUCUGGGUAGGUCACCCAUUAGAAUGAGACCAUUCUCCAUCUUUUUUUUUACCUGGGUAGGUCACCCAUAAGAAUGAGGCCAUUCUUCCCCCUGGGUAGGUCACCCAAAGAAUGAGACCACUCUUCCUCCUUUCCAUUGGGGUUCGUCACCCAUACAAUGAGACCAUUAUUUUUAUGGGGUUCGUCACCCAUACAAUGAGACCAUUAUUUUUCUGGGGUUCGUCACCCAUACAAUGAGACCAUCAUUUUUCUGGGGUUCGUCACCCAUACAAUGAGACCAUUUUUCACACAUUCUUUUGUUUUGGUUAAAUGAGGUCGCCAGAUGGGAUCUCGGGUAGCUUUGGUUAAAGGGAAUCGCCAGAUGGGAUUUCAGGUUAACCGAGUUACACAAUAUUUUUGUUCCAGUUGAAUGAGGUCGCCAGAUGGGAUCUCAUGUAGCUUUGGUUAAAGGGAAUCUCCAUUGGGGUUUCGGGUUGACCGAGCUACACGCAUUCUUUGGUUUUGGUAAAGGAGGUCGCCAGAUGGGAUCUCAGGUUAACAAAAAAAUAUAUUGAGCAAACAGAAAGACAAGUUUUUCUUUACAAAACUUACUAUGCAAAACAUCGAGGAUUUUUGCUUCGUAAGCAUUGUAAAGAGGGGGCAUCUGUUGCUACCCAAUUUUUGACCCAUGUUUUUGAUAUAUUUUCAAAAAAUCCAAAAAUAGAGAAAAACAAAGAAAAUCCAAAAAAAUAUGUUUUUAAUAUAUUUUUGUCAUUUUAGCAUUUUCAACGUCGUCUAAAAAUUUUUAAAAAAUUUUUAAGGGUCUUUCGAACGCGUUCGACUUUUCACGCGUCAUUUUUAAAAAUAAUUGAUUUUUCGUAUUUGAGUCGACGUUGAUAUUGCUCGUUUUCAAAAAAUACAAAAAAACAAGAAAAGUCAAAUUUUACAAAAAAAAGAAAAGAAAAUUAAGGGACCAAUUUUGAGGCCGAAACAAUAUUUUUGCCUAUGUAUAGAGAAUUUUGAAUUUUUGAAAGAAGCGGGCAACCUAAGAAUUUUCUCUUCACCCGAAACUAGUUGUUGCCCCUGGCCCAAGACCAUUAUUUAAUCCCUCUCUUUCGGCUGAAAAUUAAGGACUUAGCCCCCACCCAUGGUCUUCUUUUCCUUGUUUCCCGCCGACAUGGUGGCCCUCCUCAUAAUGAAAAAAAUCCAUAUUUCUUCUCAUUCCCAGCUUUGCAAGGGGGGGGAGAUUGGAGCCAUUUUUCGCCGGGUCCCGAGAGCAGUAGGCAGAGAAACUGGAACUCCUGUUCACUACCAGCUCCACACCAUUUUCCCCCGACCUUCUGAUUUUUUUUCUUCUCCUUUUCCAACCGCCUCCCCUCACAAAUAAACCUCCAGCCUUACACCGUCUCCCCCUCCCUUGCCAUCUGCCAAACAGCCAUCACUGCCCCCUGAUCCGCUGUCAUUUUCCUUUUCUUCCCCGGCCAUUCCUUUCUCCCUCACCCAAACAGCCCCUACACACCCGAUCUCUCCAACACACAGCCGCCGCCAACCAUCAGGGAAUUUUUUUUUUCUCUGCACACAGCCCCCCACCCCGGUGUUGGUUUUCAAUUUUUCAGACCCGGCUGGUCUGAUUUGGUUUCUUCCUCUCUCCCAGCCAAUCGGCCCCCACACAUUCAUCUCCUCCCUCAAACUACAGCAGCAACAAGAUCUGCCAUCGGCAGAAGAAGAAACCCACCGUUGGAAACAGGGAACAACGGGGAAACGACAGCAGCGACUGCCCCAUCAUCGUGCAACGACGCCGUGUUCCUCCAGUAGCAGCAGCCGGGCAACGAACAGAGCCCAUCACAGCGGCGGUCGAUCUCCUCCAGCACACCACAGAACCGUUCUCCCCGUCUCCAGCAAGCAGCCCCACCAUCAGCCAACGCCGCCGCCCGAAACAGAGAAGAAGGCAAAACCGAGAAGAAGCAGAGGCGUAACGGAGAAGAAGAAAAUGAGGAGCAGAUCUGAAACAAAAAAAAUAAUAAAAUAAAACCAACUGGAUUGCGUCCUUUUCUUCUUUGCAGGUGAUGUUGCUCCUCACUGCCAGUGUAGGAGGGAAGAGGAGAUGAAGGCGAGGCCGAUCCACCGGCUGCCCAGUUUUUUUUCAGUGGCGCGUGGAUCCACGCGCC